CUGUUUCCAGGUGCAUGCAGCUCCGAAACGGCGGAGCAAAGCGGAGACAGCGAAGCCACUCAGAAGGGGGAUGGCAGCAACAGAAACUCAUUGCUUAUCACAAGGCAGACUGCAAUAUACAGAUGUCUCUCCAAGGGUUGGAACCUCCCUCCAUCUCCUUGUUCCUUAGGACCUAGGAUGUUAACAGGAGACAAAUGAUCCCCUGAAGGAAGUUCUGGGAAGCAAGAAAAAUGCCAAGCUCUGAAAAUGGUAGACCUGUGGAGACUUCACGAUUUGCAAAAAAUCAGCAUGAUGCAAGACACCCACCUGUUACGAGCUCCCCCCUGCAUGUUUGCCAUUCCCAGGGUCAGGAGCACUUGGUGAGACUUUGGAUCUCCACUGCAGACUUCAAAUGAUUUCGAGAGACAGGAAAAGGAGGCGUUCCAUGUUAAUUCUGACAGAUCAGUGUUAUUCCUUCAGAUGGAAGCAACAUAGACUAGAAAUAAAUCAGUUUUAUUCUUGAAAAUUUA